GCCAAGGGCUGGAACUUUAUUAUUGUCACAGAGCACAGGAGAGACCGCUUGGGUCUCAAUGAAGGUUUGCUUUUCCUCUUCUCCAGGGGAAGCUACUGCAAGAAGGCCCACCAGCCAGGCUAGGUCAAAUGGGGUUGGGGCCACAACAUGAUAGUUAAACCCAUAAACACAGACUUGAUUCGAUCCCAGCUUCACGACUUCUUAGCUGUGUGACCUUAGGUAAGUCUGUUAACCUCUCUCAGCCUUGGCUUUGUGGAGUGGAGUGAAGAGCAGGGCCUGCUUCACUGGGGUGUUAUCAGGAUGGAGGGGGACAAGGCCUAUGAAAGUGUUUAGCACAGCGCCUGGCAGAUCGUGACCAGUCACGGAGUGGAAGCUAUCAUGAUCAAAUCUGAUUUCUCCACGGUCAGGCCAGCCCUGUCACUACGGAUGAGGAAGAGGGGGUCUCAUUUCAUAAAUGCCUUCAAUGCGGCCUGUGAGAAAGACAGCUUGGGACACCUGUGUGAGCUUCCAACGUCUUGUAGCAAGGUUAGCAAUCACCAUGUGUAGGGGAAGAGCCAUAGUGUUCCUAGGGUGGGUAGAGAUGCCACAAGAGGGCGUUCUGAGUUUUCAUCUUCUCUACCUUGAAAAAUUUUCCAUUUGUUCUCUGGCUGCAUUCCAAAUCGAACGAAGACUUAAGGUUUUUAGUUUACCUAACUGAUUGAAUACACUUUUAAAAUGAAUUCAUGUGUGUUUACUAGUUUAUCAGUCAUGUGGAUGCAAUACCGCAGCCCCUGUCGCAAGGCGCGUUGGGAAGUGGGUUGAGGGUGUGGUGGAGACAAGAAACGCAUGCCUGAUGGUGUCCUGGUUCAACCGCUGCUCAGCCGGGUGGCCUUGGACAAAUUUCCCAAGAGUACGGCAGUGCUGAAGUUCCCACAUCCAGCCUCACAGGGAUGUUAUGAAAUAGACACGAUGGAAAGAAAAGCAACGCAAAGGUUUGGAACAUGGUUCAUAAGCCCUCUUACCUCCAGGGACAGCCUUCUUCUUGAACCCUCAUCCUGUGAGCCAGCCGAGGCCCCAUUGGGGGGCAACUGUGGGGUGGGAAGGAGGCAAAUCCAGCUGUGUCCUUUUCUUGUCAAGAACAGCUUAAUUUAGAAGGAGGACAUUUAGUGAGUACAAUUAACAGGUUUUUAAUAUAUUCACAAAGUUGUGCAAACAAUGGCACAAUAUAUUUUAGGUUAUUUCACCAUCCAAAAAAGAAGCUCCUUAUCCUUAGACAACCCCUAGUCCUGGGCAGACCAGUUUCUAUCUCUAUAGAUCUGUCUAUAUAUUUUCUGGAUAUUUCAAUACAUGGAAUUAUUUAAUAUGUUGACCUACCUUUUGAUGCCAUGCCCCACCUUUAUGCUUGGCGCAUUCCAGCCUAACAGCAUCAUUCAUGGUACUUAACAUUUUAUAUCAUCGAGCAAUCAAUUGUCUCCAACCUAUCUUUCUUCUGCCACUCCUCCUCUCUUCCCAGCCAUCUUCCCAUAAUGAUUUUUCAAGAUGCAAAUAUGCUCAUAUCUUACUCAAGUUUAAUAUCCCAAAAGGGCUCCCCAUUGCCCUCAGGCUGAAUUCUGAAGCCCUUCCCAAAGCCUGCGAGGGUCUGCCGCAUCUAGCCCCAGUGACCUCUUCCUCUUGGGCUACAGCUCAUAGAUGUCCUUCCAUUCUCCUAGGGAGCCCUGUGCCCACCCACUUCGGGCUCCCAGGGACUGUGCUGCUCCCCGUCACUCUCCCUGCCCAUCUCUUCCUCCUGUGCUAGGUCUCUAAUCAAGUGGCCACUCUGGGAAACCCUCCUUGACUUUUUUUUUUUUUUGAGACAGUUACUGUAUUUAUGGUUACCUUUAUUUCCUAAUUAGGCACAGUGUUAGAGUUUGCUAUUUACAGUAGCUAUUUCUAUGUGUAAUAAAAAGGACUCAUCCUACAUUUAAAAAUAUUAUAAUCAUUUGCAGACAUGGAAGAAAUAAAAUAGGGGGCAUCUGAAUGACUGAGUUUGGAAAACAGAGUCCGAUACCAUUUAAUCAUCAGAAUGGCUGGUGCUGCUGGCAAGGGAAUGUUAUUGCUCCUACAUGGAGGACCAGGAAGGGGAUUGUUCCAGGGUCACAGGGCCUGAGCUUGGACCAGAGGAGUUGAAGACCAUUUCCACCAAGGCCAUUUCCAUUCCAAGAUGUAGGCUAAGAUUAUUGCAGCAAAGAUAGCAUCUCCCCUAGGUUUAGAAACGAGAACUAGAUGGGAGGUAGUCCCAUGCUUCUGAAGGAGAAACUGAUGCAGGGAGAAGGGCUGAGGCACA
rnacentral:lncRNA from 1 species